AGCUGGUCUGACGGUAGCGGGUUAUCAGAACUUAUUAACAUCAGUGUCACUAAAGUUGGUAUACAACCCCCACACUACUAAAUUUGACUGGCUAAAG
rnacentral:Y_RNA from 1 species